GUGUUGCUAGGUGGUUGCUAAGGUGUUGCUAUGGUAUCCGGGGUGGUUGCUAAGGCGUUGCUAGGUGGUUGCUAGGGUGUUACUAUGGUAUCCGCGGUGGUUGCUAAGGUGUUGCUAGGUGGUUGCUAAAGUGUUGCUAGGCGGUUGCUAAGGUGUUACUAUGGUAUCCGUGGUGGUUGCUAAGGUGUU